CAACUAGCAAUGUAUAUUUAUUGUUAUAAGAAAUCUGUUAGUAUCGGUCACCGAGAUAGCUCAUAACUGUACUGAGGAACGAGGUUCAGUUGUAGCUCUAUUAAUAAUCUUUCUAAUAGUUGUUAUCAACAGAUAUCAAUGGUACAAUGUAGAACAUGUGACAUAUAGUGGUACGCAACGUAGUGUGUCAUAACAUAGUGCAGUAUUGCUGGCAUUUUAACGCAAAUAAUUAUUUUCGCUAACAAUUAAUUAUUGCUUUUCACUCCUUAGAACUUGCAUAUUUUACGUAUCGGCACCAAUGGUGUUUCUUCAGAUGUAAUUGUACUGCAUUUAUUUUUUUUGCAUUUCAUUGUGCUGGAUAAAAGAAAUGAAACGCUAUAAGAUAAAUUCGUGAAAUCAAAUGCCUUAAAUAGUAAGAAAGUAGAAAUUAUGAGAUGUAUUCAGUCAUGUUAUUAACUUCGAAAGUUUGUAAGCAGAAUCAGUGGUCGUAAAUACAAUAAGUUAUGUUAGCAAUCUUUCCUAGAUUUAGAUAAAAUAAACACAUUUUAUUCCUUAUACUCCUAAUACAAAGAAUACUAUACGUUUGAUCAUCUACGACACUCUGGAAGUUUUUGAUGUUUCUUAUACCAGAGACUAAU